rnacentral:tRNA from 1 species
UCCCUGGUAGUCCAGUGACUAGGACUAGGCACUCUCACUGCUAAGGGUCCAGGUUCAAUCCCUGGUCAGGGAA